UAAUUACUCCCUCCGUUCGGAAUUACUUGUCGCAGAGAUGGAUGUAUCUAGACGUAUUUGAGUUCUAGAUACAUCCAUUUUCGAGACAAGUAAUUCCGAACGGAGGGAGUAGAUC
rfam:Triticum aestivum genome assembly, contig: Triticum_aestivum_CS42_TGACv1_scaffold_513476_6BS